UACGAAGGGGGCUAGCGUUGCUCGGAAUUACUGGGCGUAAAGGGCGCGUAGGCGGAUUUUCAAGUUGGGGGUGAAAUCCCGGGGCUCAACCUCGGAACUGCCUCCAAAACUGACAAUCUAGAGUACGGGAGAGGUGAGUGGAACUCCGAGUGUAGAGGUGAAAUUCGUAGAUAUUCGGAAGAACACCAGUGGCGAAGGCGACUCACUGGCCCGUUACUGACGCUGAGGCGCGAAAGCGUGGGGAGCAAACAGG
rnacentral:rRNA from 1 species